GACGUAGGGCGCGAGCGUUGUCCGGAUUUAUUGGGCGUAAAGAGCUCGUAGGCGGCUUGUUGCGUCGGGCUGUGAAAUCCCAUGGCUCAACUGUGGGCUUGCAGCCGAUACGGGCGGGCGUAGAGUUCGGUAGGGGAGACUGGAAUUCCUGGUGUAGCGGUGAAAUGCGCAGAUAUCAGGAGGAACACCGGUGGCGAAGGCGGGUCUCUGGGGCCGAUGACUGACGCUGGAGGAGCGAAAAGCCGUGGGGAGCGAACAGG
rnacentral:rRNA from 1 species